AGACAGGUGGUCUAGAUUGGUAUGAUUCUUGCUUGGGGUGCAAGCGGUCGCGGGUUCAAUUCCCGCCCUGUCUA
rnacentral:tRNA from 1 species